rnacentral:rRNA from 1 species
UCGACGGAAACGAUGGUAGCUUGCUACCAGGCGUCGAGUGGCGGACGGGUGAGUAAUGUAUAGGAACUUGCCCAGUAGUGGGGGACAACUUAUGGAAACGUAAGCUAAUACCGCAUAAUCUCUACGGAGCAAAGCAGGGGACCUUUCGGGGCCUUGCGCUAUUGGAUAGGCCUAUAUUGGAUUAGCUAGUUGGUGAGGUAAUGGCUCGCCAAGGCCACGAUCCAUAGCUGGUUUGAGAGAAUGAUCAGCCACACUGGGACUGAGACACGGCCCAGACUCCUACGGGAGGCAGCAGUGGGGAAUAUUGCACAAUGGAGGCAACUCUGAUGCAGCAAUGCCGCGUGUGUGAAGAAGGCCUUAGGGUUGUAAAGCACUUUCAGACGUGAGGAAAAGUUAUCUAUUAAUACUAGAUAGCCCUGACGUUAACGUCAGAAGAAGGACCGGCUAACUCCGUGCCAGCAGCCGCGGUAAUACGGAGGGUCCAAGCGUUAAUCGGAAUUACUGGGCGUAAAGCGCGCGUAGGUGGAUAUUUAAGUCAGAUGUGAAAGCCCUGGGCUCAACCUAGGAACUGCAUUUGAAACUGGAUAUCUAGAGUAUGGUAGAGGGGGGUAGAAUUCAGAGUGUAGCGGUGAAAUGCGUAGAUAUUCUGAGGAAUACCAGUGGCGAAGGCGGCCCCCUGGAUUGAUACUGACGCUCAUGUGCGAAAGCGUGGGGAGC